AUUGAACGCUGGCGGCAGGCCUAACACAUGCAAGUCGAACGGUAACAGGAAGAAGCUUGCUUCUUUGCUGACGAGUGGCGGACGGGUGAGUAAUGUCUGGGAAACUGCCUGAUGGAGGGGGAUAACUACUGGAAACGGUAGCUAAUACCGCAUAACGUCGCAAGACCAAAGAGGGGGACCUUCGGGCCUCUUGCCAUCGGAUGUGCCCAGAUGGGAUUAGCUAGUAGGUGGGGUAACGGCUCACCUAGGCGACGAUCCCUAGCUGGUCUGAGAGGAUGACCAGCCACACUGGAACUGAGACACGGUCCAGACUCCUACGGGAGGCAGCAGUGGGGAAUAUUGCACAAUGGGCGCAAGCCUGAUGCAGCCAUGCCGCGUGUAUGAAGAAGGCCUUCGGGUUGUAAAGUACUUUCAGCGGGGGGGAAGGGAGUAAAGUUAAUACCUUGGCUCAUUGACGUUACCCGCAGAAGAAGCACCGGCUAACUCCGUG
rnacentral:rRNA from 1 species